rnacentral:tRNA from 1 species
GCCGUUUUAGCUCAGCUGGUAGGACACGUAGCUUUUAACCACGUGGUCAUGGGUUCGAUUUUCACAGACGGCA